rnacentral:rRNA from 1 species
CCUACGGGAGGCAGCAGUGGGGAAUAUUGGACAAUGGGGGGAACCCUGAUCCAGCCAUGCCGCGUGUGUGAAGAAGGCCAUCGGGUUGUAAAGCACUUUCAGUGAGGAAGAACGCCUGGUGGUUAAUACCCAUCAGGAAAGACAUCACUCACAGAAGAAGCACCGGCUAACUCCGUGCCAGCAGCCGCGGUAAUACGGAGGGUGCGAGCGUUAAUCGGAAUUACUGGGCGUAAAGCGCGCGUAGGUGGCUUGAUAAGCCGGUUGUGAAAGCCCCGGGCUCAACCUGGGAACGGCAUCCGGAACUGUCAAGCUAGAGUGCAGGAGAGGAAGGUAGAAUUCCCGGUGUAGCGGUGAAAUGCGUAGAGAUCGGGAGGAAUACCAGUGGCGAAGGCGGCCUUCUGGACUGACACUGACACUGAGGUGCGAAAGCGUGGGUAGCAAACAGGAUUAGAUACCCUGGUAGUC